AAGGGGACUAUAUUUACCGAAAAUUGAGGGGCGUUUCCGAGAACUAAUUAAACCUAACCAAACUUUCAGGAAACCCACCGUAGAGAAAAAACUUCCAAAAUUGUUUCACUUAGACACAUAUUUUGUUCAUAUCACGUUCAUUAAACAUGAUAGUAUAGCAUUUUUAUUCUAUACGUUUAUUAUUAUAUGUCUGUUCAGUAAAAAUACAGUUAAACAGAAUCAUAUU